AUGGGCAACAAAGCCAACCACAAAGUUCGGACUAUAGCCUCAAUUCUAGCAAAUGGUUUUAGGGAAGCCAACAAAUGUGGCAGACUCAUCGUAGAUGAGGCCCUAAUGAACCAUUUUGGGGCUAUAGUGAUGGCAGCGCGACUGUCCGGGGCGAAUGACGUCACCCUCAUUGGAGACAUUAACCAGCUACCUUUCAUAGACCGCAACAACCUCUUCGAGAUGAAAUACACGAGGCCAAAUCUAGUAGUAAACAUCACCCAGGAGUUGCUAUGCACGCAUCGCAACCCUCUGGAUGUAGGAUAUGUCCUAAGUGAGGUUACUAACAAAAUUAAAACAAGUCAGCAUCAAUUUGAUUUGUUAGUAACAUAUAUGGAAGAGCAUGGAGAUCUCAGUAAGCGAACAUCCAAUGCUAGGGGUAGGAUGGUGGCUAUUCAAAAUUGGGAGGAACUGACAUCCAUGCUUAACAGUGUUGGUGGUGGCGACACUAAAACAACCGAAAAGUGGAAAAAGGCCUGGUAAAGGGUUAAAAAUAAUAUAAAAAAGAAAGCUGCUCGAUUACAUAGAGCAGCUCAAGGCACUGGUGGUGGGCCUGCAGUCUUUGGAAAACUGACAAACUUGGAGCAAAGGGUUUUAAAUUUAAUUGGUGUGCAAGUAGCAACAGGCUUGGCAAUUGCAGAGGCGGGGUUUCCACAGGAAAAUACGGAUUUAUCUAAAUUUACACAGCCUCAACAUGAGGUCCCCAGUGAAACUGAUAGACAUAAGUUGUUUGACCUCUUAGUAUCAGAAUUUAUUAAUAAUUUAUGUGAGAUAUUAUGCAAAUAAUUUAUUUUACAGUUGAAUUAUUGAAUGAGCCUGGACCGUCCACUCAAUUCACUUGUGUAUCUGGGCCUCCUAGCCAGAUUCAAACAAGGGAUUUGCAGACUAAUCAGGCUCCCUUAGGACUAAGACCAACAAAACCCAGACAUCCAAGUCAAGCCCAUGUGGAAUCUAGACCUCCAUGUCAGGCCCAUGGUGAAGCUAGACCUCCAAGUCAGGCCCAUGGGGAAUCUAGAUCUCCAAGUCAGGCCAAUAGGGAAUUACCCAUAUCUACCAGUCGUACCACAAUAGAUGUGCAACCAUCAAGGCCUGUAGUUUCCCCGCCUUUCAUUCUUAUCAAUGAGGAACCAAUAGAGAAUGCUGAGGAAUUGAAUAUGGAUACGCCUACAUUAUGUUCACAACAUAUGUUUGCUGCAUCACCACCUCAAGCUCAGCCUGCUCCAUAUGGACAGACAACACCUCGUCGUAGAUUAAGAUUUCCAAGAGGGGUUAGUAAUAGACAAUCGCCUCGUAGGCGCACAAGACCACAGCCCUUGCAUACAGAACAGGCUGCUCAACAUUUUCUAAAUUCUGAUGCAGAAUGGAGAGCAUUCAGAAUACAACAGCACAAAGAUUAUGUGGAUUUAAGGAAGGAGCAAAUUAGGAUUAGGGAAUUAGAAUUACAGACUCAGAGAGAAUGGAAAGCCGUAGGGUUAAGAACAUUAGAAUUAUUAGAUAAAUUAGUUAAUAAGUUUUGUGGAGAUUAAAUGAAUUUUUCAAUGUAAAUAGUAU